AUUGAACGCUGGCGGCAGGCCUAACACAUGCAAGUCGAACGGAGUGGCGGACGGGUGAGUAAUGUCUGGGAAACUGCCUGGUAGUGGGGGAUAACGUCCGGAAACGGGCGCUAAUACCGCAUACUAUCAGAUGAGCCUAGGUCGGAUUAGCUAGUUGGUGGGGUAAAGGCCUACCACGGCGACGAUCCGUAACUGGUCUGAGAGGAUGAUCAGUAACACGGGAACUGAGACACGUUCCAGACGUCUACGUGAGGCAGUAGUGGGGAAUAUUGGACAAUGGGCGAAAGCCUGAUUCAGCCAUGCCGCGUGUGUGAAGAAGGUCUUCGGAUUGUAAAGCACUUUAAGUUGGGAGGCGUUACCAACAGAAUAAGCACCGGCUAACUUCGUGCCAGCAGCCGCGGUAAUAC
rnacentral:rRNA from 1 species